AUACGGUCAACGCGAGUCAAAGUGCAAUAUCUGUUCUUAUCAGCUUUAUAUCUGAAACGGGUUCUAUUUGGACCCUAGAAUUAAACUUUUUUUUUUUUUUUGCAAGUUGGUGGAAUGCUUGAAGCCUGCUUCACCACCGCCGCCGGUCGGCCCGGUAUUGCACUAUAUCCGGGAUCGGCGCACGGUUU